GACGAACGCUGGCGGCGUGCUUAACACAUGCAAGUCGAACGGAAAGGCCCUGCUUUUGUGGGGUGCUCGAGUGGCGAACGGGUGAGUAACACGUGAGUAACCUGCCCUUGACUUUGGGAUAACUUCAGGAAACUGGGGCUAAUACCGGAUAGGAGCUCCUGCUGCAUGGUGGGGGUUGGAAAGUUUCGGCGGUUGGGGAUGGACUCGCGGCUUAUCAGCUUGUUGGUGGGGUAGUGGCUUACCAAGGCUUUGACGGGUAGCCGGCCUGAGAGGGUGACCGGCCACAUUGGGACUGAGAUACGGCCCAGACUCCUACGGGAGGCAGCAGUGGGGAAUAUUGCACAAUGGGCGGAAGCCUGAUGCAGCAACGCCGCGUGCGGGAUGACGGCCUUCGGGUUGUAAACCGCUUUCGCCUGUGACGAAGCGUGAGUGACGGUAAUGGGUAAAGAAGCACCGGCUAACUACGUGCCAGCAGCCGCGGUGAUACGUAGGGUGCGAGCGUUGUCCGGAUUUAUUGGGCGUAAAGGGCUCGUAGGUGGUUGAUCGCGUCGGAAGUGUAAUCUUGGGGCUUAACCCUGAGCGUGCUUUCGAUACGGGUUGACUUGAGGAAGGUAGGGGAGAAUGGAAUUCCUGGUGGAGCGGUGGAAUGCGCAGAUAUCAGGAGGAACACCAGUGGCGAAGGCGGUUCUCUGGGCCUUUCCUGACGCUGAGGAGCGAAAGCGUGGGGAGCGAACAGGCUUAGAUACCCUGGUAGUCCACGCUGUAAACGGUGGGUACUAGGUGUGGGGUCCAUUCCACGGGUUCCGUGCCGUAGCUAACGCUUUAAGUACCCCGCCUGGGGAGUACGGCCGCAAGGCUAAAACUCAAAGGAAUUGACGGGGCCCCGCACAAGCGGCGGAGCAUGCGGAUUAAUUCGAUGCAACGCGUAGAACCUUACCUGGGUUUGACAUGGAUCGGGAGUGCUCAGAGAUGGGUGUGCCUCUUUUGGGGUCGGUUCACAGGUGGUGCAUGGCUGUCGUCAGCUCGUGUCGUGAGAUGUUGGGUUAAGUCCCGCAACGAGCGCAACCCUUGUUCACUGUUGCCAGCACGUUAUGGUGGGGACUCAGUGGAGACCGCCGGGGUCAACUCGGAGGAAGGUGGGGACGACGUCAAGUCAUCAUGCCCCUUAUGUCCAGGGCUUCACGCAUGCUACAAUGGCCGGUACAGAGAGUGGCGAGCCUGUGAGGGUGAGCGAAUCUCGGAAAGCCGGUCUCAGUUCGGAUUGGGGUCUGCAACUCGACCUCAUGAAGUCGGAGUCGCUAGUAAUCGCAGAUCAGCAACGCUGCGGCGAAUACGUUCCCGGGGCU
rnacentral:rRNA from 1 species